AACGAACGCUGGCGGCAGGCUUAACACAUGCAAGUCGAACGCUCGUAGCAAUACGGGAGUGGCGGACGGGUGAGUAACGCGUGGGAACGUGCCCUGAGGUACGGAAUAACUGAGGGAAACUUCAGCUAAUACCGUAUGAGCCCCGAGAGGGGGAAAGAUUUAUCGCCUUGGGAGCGGCCCGCGUCGGAUUAGCUAGUUGGUGGGGUAACGGCCUACCAAGGCUUCGAUCCGUAGCUGGUCUGAGAGGACGAUCAGCCACACUGGGACUGAGACACGGCCCAGACUCCUACGGGAGGCAGCAGUGGGGAAUCUUGCGCAAUGGGGGCAACCCUGACGCAGCCAUGCCGCGUGAACGAUGAAGGCCUUAGGGUUGUAAAGUUCUUUACCCGUGACGAUGAUGACGGUAACGGGGAAUAAGCUCCGGCUAACUUCGUGCCAGCAGCCGCGGUAAU
rnacentral:rRNA from 1 species